rnacentral:rRNA from 1 species
UACGGGGGGGGGCAAGCGUUGUUCGGAAUUACUGGGCGUAAAGGGCUCGUAGGCGGCCGAUCAAGUCGAGUGUGAAAGCCCCCGGCUCAACUGGGGAGGGUCAUUCGAAACUGGUCGACUCGAAGGCAGGAGAGGGUAGUGGAAUUCCCGGUGUAGUGGUGAAAUGCGUAGAUAUCGGGAGGAACACCAGUGGCGAAGGCGACUACCUGGCCUGUUCUUGACGCUGAGGCGCGAAAGCUAGGGGAGCAAACGGG